rnacentral:misc_RNA from 1 species
AACCUAGCACACCUGCGGUGUGUACCUGCGGAGGGAUCAUUAUCGAGUGCGAACCCCCCCGUAAAAAAGGGGGGUUACCUCCCGUCCUUUGCUAGGCACCCUAUUCCAUCGGAAGGGGGUUGCUAUUCAAACCUUUCUGCUUCGGCGGGGUGACCUGCCGAAACAACCUCAAAAAUUCCAAAUCAAAACGGUUCAGUCCGAGAAACUUUUUAAAAAAGCGAAAACUUUUAGCAAUGGAUC